GUGGGUGUAGCUCAGUCGGUAGAGCAACGGAUUGUGGCUCCGUUGGUCGUGGGUUCAAAUCCCAUCAUCCACC
rnacentral:tRNA from 1 species